GCGAUACAGGGUGACAGCCCCGUACACAAAAAUGCACAUGCUGUGAGCUCGAUGAGUAGGGCGGGACACGUGGUAUCCUGUCUGAAUAUGGGGGGACCAUCCUCCAAGGCUAAAUACUCCUGACUGACCGAUAGUGAACCAGUACCGUGAGGGAAAGGCGAAAAGAACCCCGGCGAGGGGAGUGAAAAAGAACCUGAAACCGUGUACGUACAAGCAGUGGGAGCACGCUUAGGCGUGUGACUGCGUACCUUUUGUAUAAUGGGUCAGCGACUUAUAUUCUGUAGCAAGGUUAACCGAAUAGGGGAGCCGAAGGGAAACCGAGUCUUAACUGGGCGUUAAGUUGCAGGGUAUAGACCCGAAACCCGGUGAUCUAGCCAUGGGCAGGUUGAAGGUUGGGUAACACUAACUGGAGGACCGAACCGACUAAUGUUGAAAAAUUAGCGGAUGACUUGUGGCUGGGGGUGAAAGGCCAAUCAAACCGGGAGAUAGCUGGUUCUCCCCGAAAGCUAUUUAGGUAGCGCCUCGUGAAUUCAUCUCCGGGGGUAGAGCACUGUUUCGGCAAGGGGGUCAUCCCGACUUACCAACCCGAUGCAAACUGCGAAUACCGGAGAAUGUUAUCACGGGAGACACACGGCGGGUGCUAACGUCCGUCGUGAAGAGGGAAACAACCCAGACCGCCAGCUAAGGUCCCAAAGUCAUGGUUAAGUGGGAAACGAUGUGGGAAGGCCCAGACAGCCAGGAUGUUGGCUUAGAAGCAGCCAUCAUUUAAAGAAAGCGUAAUAGCUCACUGGUCGAGUCGGCCUGCGCGGAAGAUGUAACGGGGCUAAACCAUGCACCGAAGCUGCGGCAGCGACGCUUAUGCGUUGUUGGGUAGGGGAGCGUUCUGUAAGCCUGUGAAGGUGGCCUGUGAGGCAUGCUGGAGGUAUCAGAAGUGCGAAUGCUGACAUAAGUAACGAUAAAGCGGGUGAAAAGCCCGCUCGCCGGAAGACCAAGGGUUCCUGUCCAACGUUAAUCGGGGCAGGGUGAGUCGACCCCUAAGGCGAGGCCGAAAGGCGUAGUCGAUGGGAAACAGGUUAAUAUUCCUGUACUUGGUGUUACUGCGAAGGGGGGACGGAGAAGGCUAUGUUGGCCGGGCGACGGUUGUCCCGGUUUAAGCGUGUAGGCUGGUUUUCCAGGCAAAUCCGGAAAAUCAAGGCUGAGGCGUGAUGACGAGGCACUACGGUGCUGAAGCAACAAAUGCCCUGCUUCCAGGAAAAGCCUCUAAGCAUCAGGUAACAUCAAAUCGUACCCCAAACCGACACAGGUGGUCAGGUAGAGAAUACCAAGGCGCUUGAGAGAACUCGGGUGAAGGAACUAGGCAAAAUGGUGCCGUAACUUCGGGAGAAGGCACGCUGAUAUGUAGGUGAAGUCACUUGCGGGUGGAGCUGAAAUCAGUCGAAGAUACCAGCUGGCUGCAACUGUUUAUUAAAAACACAGCACUGUGCAAACACGAAAGUGGACGUAUACGGUGUGACGCCUGCCCGGUGCCGGAAGGUUAAUUGAUGGGGUCAGCGCAAGCGAAGCUCUUGAUCGAAGCCCCGGUAAACGGCGGCCGUAACUAUAACGGUCCUAAGGUAGCGAAAUUCCUUGUCGGGUAAGUUCCGACCUGCACGAAUGGCGUAAUGAUGGCCAGGCUGUCUCCACCCGAGACUCAGUGAAAUUGAACUCGCUGUGAAGAUGCAGUGUACCCGCGGCAAGACGGAAAGACCCCGUGAACCUUUACUAUAGCUUGACACUGAACAUUGAGCCUUGAUGUGUAGGAUAGGUGGGAGGCUUAGAAGUGUGGACGCCAGUCUGCAUGGAGCCGACCUUGAAAUACCACCCUUUAAUGUUUGAUGUUCUAACGUUGACCCGUAAUCCGGGUUGCGGACAGUGUCUGGUGGGUAGUUUGACUGGGGCGGUCUCCUCCUAAAGAGUAACGGAGGAGCACGAAGGUUGGCUAAUCCUGGUCGGACAUCAGGAGGUUAGUGCAAUGGCAUAAGCCAGCUUGACUGCGAGCGUGACGGCGCGAGCAGGUGCGAAAGCAGGUCAUAGUGAUCCGGUGGUUCUGAAUGGAAGGGCCAUCGCUCAACGGAUAAAAGGUACUCCGGGGAUAACAGGCUGAUACCGCCCAAGAGUUCAUAUCGACGGCGGUGUUUGGCACCUCGAUGUCGGCUCAUCACAUCCUGGGGCUGAAGUAGGUCCCAAGGGUAUGGCUGUUCGCCAUUUAAAGUGGUACGCGAGCUGGGUUUAGAACGUCGUGAGACAGUUCGGUCCCUAUCUGCCGUGGGCGCUGGAGAACUGAGGGGGGCUGCUCCUAGUACGAGAGGACCGGAGUGGACGCAUCACUGGUGUUCGGGUUGUCAUGCCAAUGGCACUGCCCGGUAGCUAAAUGCGGAAGAGAUAAGUGCUGAAAGCAUCUAAGCACGAAACUUGCCCCGAGAUGAGUUCUCCCUGACCCUUUAAGGGUCCUGAAGGAACGUUGAAGACGACGACGUUGAUAGGCCGGGUGUGUAAGCGCAGCGAUGCGUUGAGCUAACCGGUACUAAUGAACCGUGAGGCUUAACCUU
rnacentral:rRNA from 2 species